AUUGAACGCUGGCGGCAGGCCUAACACAUGCAAGUCGAGCGGAGGCUGGGAGGUCGCUCCUGGAGUCAGCGGCGGACGGGUGAGUAAUGCUUAGGAAUAUGCCUGGUAGUGGGGGAUAAGGCACGGAAAGGGGAGAUAAUACCGCAUACGUCCUGAGGGUGAAAGUGGGGGAUCUGAGGACCUCACGCUGUUAGUGCAGCCUGGGUCGGAUUAGCUAGUUGGUGGGGUAAAGGCCUACCAAGGCGACGAUCAGUAACUGGUCUGAGAGGAUGAUCAGCCACACUGGAACUGAGACACGGCCCAGACUCCUACGGGAGGCAGCAGUGGGGAAUAUUGCACAAUGGGCGAAAGCCUGACCCAGCAAUGCCGCGUGGGUGAAGAAGGAUUUCGGUUGGUAAAGCACUUUAGUUAGGGAGGAAGGGCAGUAUGUUAAUACCUCAGUUAAGAGACGUUACCAAAAGAGAAAGCACCGGCUAACUUCGUG
rnacentral:rRNA from 1 species